rnacentral:rRNA from 1 species
CAUAGCGACUAUCGUGGCAUAUCAAUAAGCGGAGGAAAAGAAACUAACAAGGAUUCCCCUAGUAACGGCGAGUGAAGCGGGAAGAGCUCAAAUUUGAAAUCUUCAAGGGUUUCCCUUGACGAAUUGUAGUUUAAAGAAGUGUUUUCUGUUAGAGAGGUGGUAAAAGUUCUUUGGAAUAGGGCAUCAUAGAGGGUGAGAAUCCCGUAUUUGAUCACUUUCUACUAACGUUGUGAUACACUUUCAAAGAGUCGGAUUGUUUGGGAAUGCAGUCCCAAAAUGGGUGGUAAAUUUCAUCUAAAGCUAAAUAUUGGCGAGAGACCGAUAGCGAACAAGUACCGUGAGGGAAAGAUGAAAAGAACUUUGAAAAGAGAGUUAAACAGUACGUGAAAUUGUCAAAAGGGAAGCGUUUGACACCAGUGUUGUUUUUCCGAAAAUCAAUUAUGAAUGGCUUGAUUUUAAGUUUCAUGACCUUAAAAGCUUGUUUCUUAUUUUUCAUGUCUUUCGUAAUGCACUUUUCGGUUAACAAGUCAACAUCAAUUUCUUUUGUUGUAAAAGGUUAAGAGGAAGGUGGCUUUACUUUCGGGUAAAGUGUUUAUAGCCUUUUAACUCUGCAAUCGGAGAGAUUGAGGUCUGCAGCGUAGAUCCUUCGGGGUUAGAUACAUUUGUGCUAAGUUAUAGCUUUUCAUAGACAACUUGUUGACUAUGUUAAGUCUUGUAAUUUACUCGCAGAUGCUAUUUUACCUACGCUUAGGAUGUUGAUAUGCAUGACUGAUAU